rnacentral:lncRNA from 1 species
GCAAGAGGAUCUGGGUUGAAAUCUGAUCUCCUACACUUCCUAGCUGUGUGACCCUGGCACAAUAGUAUUCCAUCACCAACAUGUGCCAGUCUGUUGAGGCAUUCAACGUCCCUCUACUGGGAUAGAGGGAACAUCUCUUCAAUUUCCAAUUGUUUGCCACUCUACAAAGGAAGGCAGGUAACAUUAGAGAAACUUAAGAAGAUUUACAUGAACUGAUGCAUAACAAAGUGAGCAGAGCCAGGAGAACAACGUAACUCUAAUAAUACCCAGAGCAGUACAAAGACAAGCAGCUUUGAAUGACAUCAGAACUCUGACCAGUGCAAUGAUCAGUUUCUGGCCCUGGAUGAUGAAAUAGGCUGCCCACCUCCUGAAAGAGAGAUGUAUGAUGGAUUCAAGAUGCAGAAUUAAGCCAUAAUGUUUGGGAUUUGGUCAGUGAAGGAAUUUGUUUUGCUUCACUGUGAAUAUUAGUUAUAAGAGUUUUGUUUUUAUUUCAUUUUUCAGUGGGGGAGGCAGAAGGGAGAAAAAUACGUUUUUGUUCAUGAAAAAAAAAUAAAAUUGUAUUUGCCUUGCUUCCUUCA